AUGUGUAAAGAAUUUAAAAACUAUUUCCUUUACAAGUUGUAAAAAUUUAUACAUAAAACCUGAUAUGUGCUUUCUAGUUUAUUAUGAACUAUUGAUUUUUUUUACCAAUAAUAGACAAAAUCAAAAUAAACUACUUAAAAUAAACUCAUCAUAGAUACCAGGACUAAAUUAAGUAUACGCCAGACGCGCGUUUUAUUGAUAUUGCAUUAAGGAUUUUUUUUAUACCCAAGCUCACCUUUUGAAAACAUA
rnacentral:lncRNA from 1 species